CUAAAACUACAUAUCCGCC
rnacentral:snRNA from 1 species